rnacentral:rRNA from 1 species
GACGAACCGUCCAAACGUUAUUCGGUAUCACUGGGCUUAAAGCGUGCGUAGGCGGCCUGGUAGGUGAGAUGUGAAAGCCCACGGCUCAACCGUGGAAUUGCGUUUCAAACCACCAGGCUGGAGGAUGGCAGGGGUGAUGGGAACUGAUGGUGGAGCGGUGAAAUGCGUUGAUAUCAUCAGGAACACCGGUGGCGAAGGCGCAUCACUGGGCCAUUUCUGACGCUGAGGCACGAAAGCUAGGGUAGCGAACGGGAUUAGAUA